CUAGCGUGGCUAGGAGAGACGGGAGCUCCUCUGUUUUGCUGCAGCAGCGCACGUCGCUGCACCGAGCGGAUGCCGUCACAGACCGUCGUGCACAAAAUCAAGAAUUCGAAAGAAAAAAACAACAUCGGAAAAAGCCGGCAACGCCGUCGAACGCGCGCCGUGCGAGCCCGGGCAAGCUCAGCGCCGAGCUUAUCAGAGUCGGCGCCAGAUGGCGAGCGCCGCGUUUGCUCCCAUUUUGCGCUUUGUAGUUUGUUUUGGCUCCAGCGGUGACGUCACUCCCGGGAAGGCAACAUAAACGCGCCGUCGCGGACCUGCGUCUGCGUGUAUCGGAGAACCGUCUCUGAGCGAAGCGAUCGAAGCGAUCCCUUGCCGCGUUCCAAACUCGAGCCUGCAAACUUGCAAGUUCGUUUGCCUGGCCAUUCCUACCUGCUUCUGAGUUUUUCUGCAACCGUUUAGUACAUUCGUCGAACUUCCCGUCGCUGCAACAGGCAAGUCGUUGAAGAUGUCUGAAAGCCACUUUGACGAGUACGAGCACUACAACUUCGACCAGGACAAGUUCCUGUAUGCGGGCCACAGCGGCAAGCAGAGGUCGAAGAGGGAGGCUUCGGAGCACACCAACCACCAUGACCCAAGUGGACACGUUCGCAAGCUAGUCACGAAAAUGGCCAACACCGAGAGGAACCGCAGGAACUCGGGCGGCAACCGGCAUUGAAGUCUGGUCGUUUGUGGCAUCGGUGCCGGGCUGUCAUCACCCACCUGUUGUCGUGUGCCGCAUCUAAUUUAUGCUUCAACAACGGAACUUCGGACGUCGACUGUGAUCUUUACAAAUACCUUGGACAUUGCGUACUCACCGGGCCGGUGUGUGUGCACAGACUGUUUGCCUUUUCCUCCCUGGCCCUCUUUUGUUUUUCUGUGAUGUCUCGUCACUUGCUUUGACGCGCGGUGUGUGUUUCAUCUUAACCCUCAUAGGCGUCGACGGUGGCCCGCUGGUAUCUUAGAAUAUUCCGGCUGUUGUCUGUCGGAGAGAGCCAAUAAGAGCUACCUGUCCUUGCCACUUUAUUUUUUAUUUAGUCUCGAUUUCAUAUUUAUUCCGCACUGUCGUGUCGUAGACAAUAAAUCGUAGAGGGCAACUCGUGAUGAAGAUAUCGUGCGAGUAUAGGGUCUCACAUCUAAAUAAAGUGUUAUGGCACUUUA